GAAAUGCGAUAAUUAAUGUGAAUUGCAGAAUUCAGUGAAUCAUCGAGUCUUUGAACGCACAUUGCGCCCCCUGGUAUUCCGGGGGGCAUGCCUGUCCGAGCGUCAUUGCUGCCCUCAAGCACGGCUUGGGUGUUGGGCUUCCGUCCCUGGCAACGGGGACGGGCCCAAAAGGCAGUGGCGGCACCAUGUCUGGUCCUCGAGCGUAUGGGGCUUUGUCACCCGCUCCCGUAGGUCCAGCUGGCAGCUAGCCUCGCAACCAAUCUUUUUAACCAGGUUGACCUCGGAUCAGGUAGGAAUACCCGCUGAACUUAAGC
rnacentral:misc_RNA from 1 species